CAAGUACUCCCUCCGUCCUAAAAUUCUUGUCUUAGAUUUGUCUAAAUAUGGAUGUAUCAAGUCACGUUUUAGUAUUAGAUACAUCUGUAUCUAGACAAAUUUAAGACAAGAAUUUUGGGACGGGGGGAGUAACAG
rnacentral:pre_miRNA from 1 species